rnacentral:rRNA from 1 species
CUACGGGCUGCAGCAGUGAGGAAUAUUGCACAAUGGAGGAAACUCUGAUGCAGCAACGCCGCGUGGAGGAUGACGCAUUUCAGUGUGUAAACUCCUUUUAUAUGUCAAGAAAAUGACGGUAGCAUAUGAAUAAGCACCGGCUAACUCCGUGCCAGCAGCCGCGGUAAUACGGAGGGUGCAAGCGUUACUCGGAAUCACUGGGCGUAAAGGACGCGUAGGCGGGAUAUCAAGUCAGGUGUGAAAUCCUACAGCUUAACUGUAGAACUGCACUUGAAACUGGUAACCUAGAGUAUGGGAGGGGGAGAUGGAAUUAGUGGUGUAGGGGUAAAAUCCGUAGAUAUCACUAGGAAUACCUAAAGCGAAGGCGAUCUCCUGGAACAUAACUGACGCUAAGGCGUGAAAGCGUGGGGAGCAAACAGGAUUAGAUACCCCAGUAGUC